CAGGCUAGCAGGAGGCGAAGCGGAGCCCGGGCUCAGGCACGGGGAGUGAUGCACCUUUACAGUUGCGGUUGGAGAUUUACAGAGAUAGAUGAGAAGCAAUCCUCUGAGAGAGGAGAGAAACGGGGAUUUGGUGGGAGGCAAGGCAAUGCUAGGGUCAUCCAAGAAGGCUGUGGUCGCAAAGCCAGCAAAUCUGGUGAUACCGUUUAAUGAUAAAUGCCCUCUGAAAGGCUUGCUGAAUUCAAGAUGCUGAGGCUGAACAGAGGAACUGGCGACUAGAAUCCAGAAGGUCGAGGGCAGGCUUGAGGAACUGUUGUUGGUCUCCCCUAGAGCCUUCUACCCAGCAGGGGAUGCAAGCCUGAACAACUACACCAAUACAAAGAACCAAGGGAAGCCAAAGGAGGCCCUAGCCAGCUUGCAGGUGGAAGAAAGGAAAAGCAGGCAUAUGGAACUGAGCAGCAAAGCCAGCCCCAAAGGAGAACAGUGGGAACUGGGUUUUGGAGGCGAGUGCGGUUUUAGAGCCAGUCUCUGGUCCGUUCCCAGGAGACAAGCCAUCGAAUUAACCUAAUGAAGCACAGGAUAGCACAGCCUCAGACCAGCGCAGCUGAACACAAUCUUCUUGGCAGGCAGAGAAAAGAAACGUCAAAAUAAGGAGCAGAGGCUGGGGGGAGGGCGGCUGCUUGAAGCUGGAGGGGUUGGACAGAAGGAAAGAAAAUCCCAGCCCGAGACUCUGAUAAAGCUCGCUCUUUCCACCCAGACACGCGGCCUAAGGAUGUGUCUCAGAGCCUCAACGGAAAGGCAUCAAGCCACAGAUUAGUACUCACAUGUGUGAUGCUUUCCGCGUUUCUGAGCAUUCACAGGCACAGCCUCUCAUUCGGUAUUCACAGAAGUCCCAAGACAGCCGAACGAGGUCAGCCAGGCGGUGAGGGACGGAGCUUUAAUGCCAUCCCAGGGCUGAUGGCUCCAAGGCCAGGGCUCCCUCCACAGGCUCUCACUGCCUUCCUUACAGAGAGGCUUUUCCCACUUACUGGGUGCCAUCUUGACUGGAUGAGCUGGAUUAAAUUAUUCGUACCAAGGAACUAGGACUCCCUGCCGUUAACAGUCUCCCAAGAAGGCAUAUCAAGCCAUCUCUAAUGGGAUUCACAGAACUCCAGCCAGGACACUGAGGGAAGUUGACUGAGACAGCCUGGGAUCACCAGGAAACAUGAGACCUCAGGUACAAACCAGAUUUCACAAGUCAGAGGCAAGGAGAAAAGCUGAAAGCCUCUGACAUUAAGAGAAGCAGGAGGUGGACUUCCCCAACAGUUCAGUGUCAAGACAGCGCUGCCAACGCAGGAGGCAUGGGUUUCAUCCCUGGUUGAGGAAGAUCCUGAAUGCUGUGUGGCAGUCUCCCCCAUCAAAGAAAAAGAGAGAAAGAGGCAGGAGACAGGCAGGAGACCCUGAAGCCCUCUGAGAUGGCACCCCAGGAAUCCUGCAUCUGAUCACUGCUGCCCUCACCAUCCGGGAAGGGACAGGACUGGUGCUUCUGUUUCCCCGACCGCCCUGGUCUGCCCCCUCCCCAGCCUGCACCGGGCACGGGGCUCCGGACAGGGCUCUCCGCCCAGCACCGGAAGCCUGGGG
ensembl:lncRNA